GGGAUACCACCCUUGUAGUACUGGGACUCUAACCAUAGGCCAUGAAUCUGGUCUUGGGACACUGUCAGGUGGGCAGCUUGACUGGGGCGGUCGCCUCCCAAAAGGUAACGGAGGCGCUCAAAGGUUCGCUCAGUACGGUCGGAAAUCGUACGUAGAGUGUAAAGGCAAAAGAGAGCUUGAUUGCAAGACAUACAGGUCGAGCAA
rnacentral:rRNA from 1 species